rnacentral:rRNA from 2 species
GGAUGCGAUCAUACCAGCACUAAAGCAUCGGAUCCCAUCAGAACUCCGAAGUUAAGCGUGCUUGGGCGAUAGUAGUAGUAGGAUGGGUGACCUCUUGGGAAGUCCUCGUGUUGCAUUGC